UACGUGAGGCAUGAAGUCACAGAGUGAUACAGUAUGGCCAACUUCGGCCCAACUUGCCCACAACGGCCAACAUGUCCCAGCUACACUAACCUCACUUCACCGCGUUUGGUCCAUAUCCCACGAAACCUGUCCUAUCCAUGUAAUCGUCUAAAUGUUUCUUAAAUGUGGGGAUUGUCCCUGCCUCAACUAAAUCCUCUGGCAGCUUGUUCCACACAUGCACCACUCUAUGUGCGAAAAAGUUACCCCUCAGAUUCCUAUUAAAUAUUUUCCACUUCACGUUGAACCUGUCCUCUGGUCCUCGAUUCACUACUGUGGGCAAGAGACUCUGUGCGUCUACCCGAUGCAUUACUCUCAUGGUUUUAUACAUUUCCACAUGAUUCGGAUUGGUUACCCUUGGUGAAGGGGCGGUUCUAUGCCACGUGCGAUUCCGCUCCAGUCCGACGACCGGCGCUCGAUCUCCUCACUUCUGUCAUUGAGUGGAGAGAGCCCUCAGAAAGAUGUUUAUCCUCCUCGCUGUGGGGACCUGGUUUCAUUAUGUGAACUCGGUGACCGUCAGCCAGAAUCCAACCACCUUUUCUAGAGUACCCGGGAAUGCAUUGGAACUACGCUGCACGGCGGAGGGAGGGAGCGACAGUGACUAUAUGUACUGGUACGGACAGUCCGCCGGAGGGGGGCUCCGGGACCUGUUCUAUUCCAUAAGUCAGACGCACGUGGAACCGAAAGAGACGACGAACGGUCUCUCAGCGGUCAGAACAAAGAACCGGUUCGAUCUGAUGUUCACCAGCCUGGUGGCGAAUGACUCAGCCCUGUAUUUCUGCGCAUGGAGGCUACACAGCGACGCGGCGAGGCGGCCGAGGUUGACAAAAACCCUCCUCGCCUUUUACAAAUUGGUGUAGGUGACUGUCGAUUGGAGAACAGGUGUCCCGCACCUGGGCUGAGAAGCCCGGGAGCGGUGCGACCUCCAGCGGGGCCGAUGUGAAUCAUCUCCAGAUAAAAGGAACUGCAGAUGCCGGAGUGAUUAAAUACUGUUUUUAUUGUCGUAUGUCCCAAACGAGGCAAUGGAAUUUACACUUGCAGCAGCACAGCGUAUGCAAACAUAAUACUCUAAAUAAAAUAUAUACACUGUACACAGACACACACACACACACACACACACACACACACACACACGCACACACACACACACACACACACACACACACACACACGC